rnacentral:rRNA from 2 species
AGCAUAGCGAUUUGGGAUAAGUCCCUUGGAAAAGGGCAGCAUGGAGGGUGAUACUCCCGUCUCUGCUCAGAUUGUCUGUGUGUACGAUACGCUUUCUUUGAGUCGAGUUGUUUGGGAAUACAGCUCAAAGUAGGUGGUAAAUUCCAUCUAAAGCUAAAUAUUGGUGCGAGACCGAUAGCGAACAAGUACCGUGAGGGAAAGAUGAAAAGAACUUUGAAAAGAGAGUUAAAGAGUACCUGAAACUGUUGAAAGGGAACCGUAUCGUUUCCAGUGUUGUAUCCUGUGCAUAUUUCAUUAGCGGAGUAAUUUGCUGGUGCCCUGUGCAUGGGUGUGACGUCAGAGUCAGUUUGUAUGCUGCGGGAGAUGGACAGUAGGGAGGUGCGUCACUUCGGUGAAAGUUAUACCUUGCUGUCUAGUAGCCGUGGUUGAGACUGAGGUGCC